AGCGCUGUGAGGCGUUGAGCUAACCAAUACUAAUUGCCCGUGAGGCUUGACCAUAUAACGCCCAAGCAAUU
rnacentral:rRNA from 1 species